rnacentral:lncRNA from 1 species
GCAAAGUUUCUUAAAGAUUUCAAGAGUCUUUAACAAUGUUUUAACUUCGUUUUAAGACUCAAGUUUUCAGGUUAAGCAAAGAGUAAAGACUUGAUUUCAUUUCUCAAAAGUUAUAAGGGAACUAAGUAUUCCCUAAGAGUUUAUAAAUGUUUUUACACAUUUGAGCAAGAAAAGGGAACAUCGAUUCCAAGAGAGCCUUUGGGCUAAGCUUUGAGUAAUUAUCUCAAAUCAAAGAAAGAAAGUUGUUUAAAACACUUAUGAGCUAAGUAUAUUUUGGGAGUAGUAUUGAGCACCGAUAUGGGGAUGCGAGUUCAUAUUAACUCAAGUCUCCAUAAACCAUGUAGCCAUCAUGGGUAGUA